rnacentral:rRNA from 1 species
UACGUAGGGUCCGAGCGUUGUCCGGAAUUAUUGGGCGUAAAGAGCUCGUAGGUGGUUUGUCACGUCGUCUGUGAAAUUCCGGGGCUUAACCUCGGGCGUGCAGGCGAUACGGGCAAUACUUGAGUGCUGUAGGGGAGACUGGAAUUCCUGGUGUAGCGGUGAAAUGCGCAGAUAUCAGGAGGAACACCAGCGGCGAAGGCGGCGCUCUGGGCUGAGAUUGACGCUGAGGAGCGAAAGUGUGGGUAGCAAACAGGAUUAGAUA